GUCAGGAUGGCUGAGCGGUUGAAGGCGCCAGACGCAAGGCUUGAUUUCUUACUCGCUUCAGAGGUUUUUGGUCUCUGAAAGGGGGCGUGGGUUCAAAUCCCACUGCUGACA